rnacentral:rRNA from 1 species
AUUGAACGCUGGCGGCCGACCUAACACAUGCAAGUCGAGCGGAGCGGCGGACGGGUGAGUAAUGCCUAGGAAUCUGCCUGGUAGUGGGGGAUAACGUCCGGACACGGGCGCUAAUCCCGCAUACUAUCAGAUGAGCCUAGGUCGGAUUAGCUGGUUGGUGGGGUAAAGGCCUACCAAGGCGACGAUCCGUAACUGGUCUGAGAGGAUGAUCAGUCACACUGGAACUGAUACACGUGCCAGACUCCUACGGGAGGCAGCAGUGGGGAAUAUUUGACAAUGGGCGAAAGCCUGAUCCAGCCAUGCCGCGUGUGUGAAGAAGGUCUUCGGAUUGUAAAGCACUUUAAGUUGGGAGGCGUUACCAACAGAAUAAGCACCGGCUAACUUCGGGCCAGCCGCCGCGGUAAUAC